UACGAGAGGUCCAAACGUUAUUCGGAAUCACUGGGCUUACAGAGUUCGUAGGCGGUUCUACAAGUGGGGUGUGAAAGCCCUCGGCUCAACCGAGGAACUGCGCUCCAAACUGUAGAACUAGAGGGAGAUAGAGGUGAGCGGAACUGAUGGUGGAGCGGUGAAAUGCGUUGAUAUCAUCAGGAACACCGGAGGCGAAGGCGGCUCACUGGGUCUCUUCUGACGCUGAGGAACGAAAGCUAGGGGAGCAACCGGG
rnacentral:rRNA from 1 species